UACGUAGGGUGCGAGCGUUGUCCGGAAUUACUGGGCGUAAAGAGCUCGUAGGCGGUCUGUCGCGUCGGCUGUGAAACCCGGGGCUCAACCCCGGCCUGCAGUCGAUACGGGCAGACUAGAGUUCGGUAGGGGAGACUGGAAUUCCUGGUGUAGCGGUGAAAUGCGCAGAUAUCAGGAGGAACACCGGUGGCGAAGGCGGGUCUCUGGGCCGAAACUGACGCUGAGGAGCGAAAGCGUGGGGAGCGAACAGG
rnacentral:rRNA from 1 species